AAGUCGUAACAAGGUUUCCGUAGGUGAACCUGCGGAAGGAUCAUUAAACGUAUCCACGUAUAUACCAACCGCGAACUUGUUUCUCAACCCCAUUAGUCUUAGAUAGAAAAACUGAUUGUCUGGCACUUAGGGUGUGGUGAGCGGAUUAGUCUAGUGUGACUAGUAGCGCUUGGCUGACGCAGUUGUCCUUACCUCCGUGUAAGGGUGUCUAGUUCUAUAUGGGCAACUACAUCCGAGUCUUAUUAACACUAAGACUUUACUUUUUUUUAUUAACCACAUGAAUUAACUUUGUAAUCAAAAGUUCAAGCGUAAAAACUUGAAUAUUUUAAUAAAUUAAGCACAACUCUUAGCAACGGAUAUCUAGGCUCUC
rnacentral:misc_RNA from 1 species